rnacentral:rRNA from 1 species
UACGUAGGUGGCGAGCGUUGUCCGGAAUUACUGGGUGUAAAGGGCGUGUAGGCGGGAUUGUAAGUCAGAUGUGAAAUUCCAAGGCUCAACUUUGGAGCUGCAUCUGAAACUGCGAUUCUUGAGUGCUGGAGAGGAUAGUGGAAUUCCUAGUGUAGCGGUGAAAUGCGUAGAUAUUAGGAGGAACACCAGUGGCGAAGGCGGCUAUCUGGACAGUAACUGACGCUGAGACGCGAAAGCGUGGGGAGCAAACAGG